UACAGAGGUGGCAAGCGUUGUUCGGAAUUACUGGGCGUAAAGGGCGCGUAGGCGGCCUUCUAAGUCAGACGUGAAAUCCCCCCGGCUUAACCUGGGAACUGCGUCUGAUACUGGGAGGCUUGAGUAUGGGAGAGGGAUGUAGAAUUCCAGGUGUAGCGGUGAAAUGCGUAGAUAUCUGGAGGAAUACCGGUGGCGAAGGCGGCAUCCUGGACCGGCAUUGACGCUGAUGAGCGAAAGCUAGGGGAGCAAACGGG
rnacentral:rRNA from 1 species